GUAGAAAUCUAUGUACUGAUAUCUAUGUACCGAUAUCUACUGCAUUUGUAAUGACAAUGGAAGAAAUUUUGAAAGAAUAAGGAAAUAAUAUUGCUGAUAUUACCGCUUGAUACGAUGUUCCACGAUUUUAUACUUUCUUGGCAAUAUUCUGAUUAUUAGAUAAUACGAAACUAUCGCAUGUUGGUGAGUACAUUUUCUUCUGUACAGACUUUUAAACCAGAUUUUAUUGCUUGCGUGUGGAGAAAAGCUAUGUAGUAGGUUAGUACUUAAACGUUGUGUGCGUGAAAACGUGCUCUACCACUUCAUAUUACAUGAAUUACAGAAGCACCAUACGAUAAAAGUUUAUUUAAUACACAGUCAAAACAAAAAUGUUUGUUUUUAAAUUUCGGAUUGGACUGUCGACUUGUAUUUGAACAAGCUAGUUUAAAUAUAAUUUGUAGUGAUAGCAGUGUUUUAGUAUGAAUAAUUUCUUUCAAGAUGAUUUCCGCAAAAGUUUCCAAAUAUUACGCACUAAGGAUGCGAAAGUAAUCACGCAUGAGCGGUGUCCUGAAAUGUUUCUCCAGUGCGACUACUGUAAUGUCGAUACCAGGGAACAAUUCUCUGUAACCGGCGCAAUCUGUACCAAAAGCAAAAUAAACUCCCGCUG